rnacentral:misc_RNA from 1 species
GAUGUUAAUGUCAUGUACACAGAAGUGUUUUCAAUAAUCAAUUUUCCCCGUCUAUGCCAUUACAGAUUCAUACUUCUAACUCAUUCUUUAAUUGGUUACAGAUACAAGAGGUGAAGAGCUGAUCAGAUGACUAACAUAAAACAGAUGAACUUACUACUGGUUUGCAGAUAGCUCUCAAAGUUACAUGUCCAAAUGGGUGAAUGCUGUCAUAAUUUUCUAAAGCAUUUGUUAAGAGGAAUUGAGACUAUCUUCUAAGAUAAACUUGUUUUAAUUAGUUGCAAUUGUUAUGCUCAUCACUCAUCAGUACCUUCACUUGCCAUAACACUUCCCGUCAGUGAGCAAGCUUUGCUUUAAGCAUCUAGAGCUAUGGUGACUUGCAGAACGUGAUAAGAAUAAAAGAUCCAAUUGUCGUUAUCCAUUGAGCAAACUAAAAAUGAAAUGAAAGAAUUACCUCGCAUCAUCAAUCAAGC